GGGAAGCAGACAGGGAUGAGAGCGUCCUCUUCCCGUGAGUCCGAGGGUCCCUCUGGGGCUCCCCUGUGUCUGGUUCAGUGAGUUUGGCUGCGGUCCCCCGCACUUAGAAAUGGCCUUGGCUGACCCUGGGCCUUGUGGAGGGAGCGGGUGGCCUCGGCUCUGGUUGGGUUGGGCUGUUCCCCGCUGAGGGUCGGUUGAGUCUCCAGGCUGAGUGGGGGUCCCCAAACUGUCACCAGUUCAGAGCAAAUCUUUGGACUCUUUAGAAGGGGUUCCUUGUAAUGCAGAUGAUGAGUUUUCUCCUACCUCCUUUCAGCCUGAUCAUCUGCAGAAUCGAGGGGAGGCAUGAGUGUUUCUGAAAGCAGGUCUCACUCAAGACUGGGAGGGACACUGUGUUUUCUAAAUAUGACACUUUGGGACUUGUUAAGCCAAUUUUUUUUUCUAGAAGAGGCAGCAUCACUUGUUGAUGGGAACCAAGAGCCUAGGUUUAAAUCCUGGAUUCACCCCUUCCUAACUGGAUGAGCUUAGAGCAGUCAAGUUACCUCUCUCUGCCUCAGUGUGCCGUCUGUGGUCCCUAAUUUGAAAGGUUAUUGCGAAGAUUCAAUAAGUGAGCAUUUAAAGAUGAAGUACAUAGAUACAUGUGUAUAUCUGUGAGACUGCUGUUGUCUCACUUAGUCAUCUUUAUUUAUUUAUAUAUUUAUUUUUGAAACUGUGGAGCAUGGCUUGGUGAGCAGCUCACAGAGGCUGGAUUUCUCCCUCAGUUGGACACCUUUGUGCAGUGCCCAGCCUGCACAACUGAGCUUGGCAGCCCUUUGUAGGAUGUCACCUAUAUUAAGUAGCAGGUGGUUGCUCUCUAUAGGAAUCUUGCUCUCUUAUUUUCAAGCCUGAAGAGCUUUUCUAGAUCUCUCAUAUCUAUAGGUGCUCACCCGAGCCUACUGUUUGACCGACCACCAUGGCCUGAGCCUGAAUUUCCAGCUGGGAGUUGGAAUAGACUCUUGAGCAUCCCUCAAGAGGCAGGGUGCAACACAUCGCCACAAGGCCUGGCACCUCCCGGAGAGUGGUCUCUCUGCUAGCGUCCAAACUUCGUAAGAGUUCCACUUCUUUAUCCUAUUAAAAAUAAGCACCGUUGGCCGGGUGCGGUGGCUCAAGCCUGUAAUCCCAGCAAGUUGGGAGGCUGAGACGGGCGGAUCACGAGGUCAGGAGAUCGAGACCAUCCUGGCUAACAUGGUGAAACCCUGUCUCUACUAAAAAAUACAAAAAACUAGUCGGGCGAGGUGGCGGGUGCCUGUAGUCCCAGCUACUCGGGAGGCUGAGGCAGGAGAAUGGCGUAAACCCGGGAGGCGGAGCUUGCAGUGAGCUGAGAUCCGGCCACUGCACUCCAGCCUGGGCGACAGAGCAAGGCUCCGUCUCAAAAAAAAAAAAAAAAAAUAAGCACCGUUUUCUUCACUCCCUUCAGCUGCUGAGUGGUGCCCCGGAGAACAAGCCCUUGCGUUUCUUCCCAAGGCUCCAAAGGGAGAGGAAUAAACAACUGCAAACAGCUGUUUCUCCGCUAGUGACAGGAUUCAGACAAUAGACCCUCCAUGCGUAUUCAUCAGCUGCCUUUUCUGAGGCGAGUUUGCAUUGAGGCUGCAGAGAAGCCUCCAUGCUGGGGCGGCACUGGGUGGAACUUCCUGAGCCAGUAGUGAGAGUCGCUCAAAAGAGCCCAGCCCAGGCCUCCAUGCAGCCCAGGUGAGCCGGGGGCCUGUCUAGACAGAUGUUCUGGCGGCUGUCAGGAAGGGCUGUCAGCCUUCCUUGCUGUGGUGACUUUUUGAGAGAGGCCCUUGGCCAGAAGAGUGGCCUCCAGCAGACUCACUCUAUGUGGUCACCUCUUUCUUUGACAAUGGAUGGCACUCACUCAAAUGCCAUUCAUCUGACAAAUAUUAAUUUUUAUUUAGCACCAUCUAUGUGCCAGGCACUGGGCUAGGUUCUAGGGUUGUAUCAGUGAACCAAGUAUGAUGGCUCAUGCCCAUAAUCCCAGCACUUUGGGAGGCUGAGGCAGGAGGAUCUCUUGAGCUCAGGAUCCUUGAGACCAGCCUGGCUAACAUAGUGAAACUCUGUCUUUCCAAAAAUCAAACAAUUAGCCUGGCAUGUUGGUGCCUGUGGUCCUAGCUACUUGGGGGGAUGAGGUGAGAGGAUUGUUUGAGCCUGGGAGGUGAAGGUUGCAGCGAGCUGAGAUCGUGCUACUGCACUUCAGUCUGGGUGACAGAGUGAGACCCUGUCUCAAAAAACAAAUGAUGUCCUCUCCAUUCUUCUCACCCAUUUUUAUUUUACCAAAUAUUUAGCGAGCACCUACUAUGCUCCAGGUGCCAUAGCUAGGUUCUAGGGACACAUCAAUGAACAUUUGAAAGCACGUGUCUGCCCUUUAUCCAUUCAUUCCUUCAAUCUGUAUUUUGACAAGUACUCAUUGAGCACUUAAAGUAUGUGCCAGGCACUGUACUAGGUUCUUGGGACACAUCUGUGAACAUUUGAAAACAUAUGCCUGUCCUUCAUCCAUUCAUUCCUUCCAAUAGUAUUUAUUUUAACAAAUAUUUAUUGAGGAUCUACUAUGUGCAAUAUGCUCUCCUAGGCACCUACAAUAAACUGGUGAGCUGGGCGUGGUGUCUUGUGCCUGUAGUCCCAGCACUUUGGAGGCCAAGGUGGAAGGAUCACUUGAGACCAGGAAUUCCAGACCAGCCUGGGCAACAUAGUGAGACUCUCUCUAUAACAAAAAAAAAAAAAAAAAGAAA
rnacentral:lncRNA from 1 species